ensembl:lncRNA FAM27C family with sequence similarity 27 member C
GUUGUCUUAGAAACCAGUCCCCGAGGCUUGGCAAAGCAGGAGCCCUCUGUGGCAGUGCUUGGGUGUCGGGGCUCUGAGGAUCCGGCCUCACCUCUCCACGGGGUCGACGGGAACGUCUCCGGAUGCCAGGAGUCGCAAAGGGCCGACCACGAUGAGGAAACCCCAGGCUGGGACGGGGGAAGCAGCACGGGAUCCCAGCCUCAGGCCUGCCCGGACGGUGUUGGUUGGGAGACGAGGUCUCACUAUAUUGACCAGGCUGGUCUUGAACUCCUGGCCUUAAGCGAUCCUCCUGCCUUGGCCUCCCAAAGUGCUGGAGUUACAGAUGUGAGCCUCUGUGCUCAGUCCAUCCUUGGCUGUUCAAGUGUAGAGCCCUCAGCAACCACCACCUCGAUCAGUCACUAGCUAUCAACAUUGAGACAAGACCAUCCAGCAGCAAAAUGAUGAUGACUUACUGAAGGCCCAGAUGAUGGUUAGCAGUUUUUGGCAAUCACGUAUUUUCAAAAACCAAACCUGCAAUAUCUCCAAGGUGUGCCUGUAUCCCUAGAAGCAGAGCUGGAGUAAGGACUUCGGUGUGGGUGGUUUAUUUGGAAAGUGAUUCCAAGAAGCAAGAGUCAGAAGUGGGAAGAGUGAGCCAGGCAAGAAAGAAAAGCCAAAAUAAUGGCAUGCUAUUGAGGCUCCUGCCAUGCAGUUUUUUCUGCAGGACCUUCCGAGAGGCUCCGGAAAGUUAUCCAGAAAUGCCCACCUGAAACAUGAGCCUGGAGCAUUUGUCCACCUGUCCCACACUGGUUGAGGUCUUCCCCUGAGGCUGUUAACCUGCAAGUGUUUCUGGGCUGUAUUUGUGCUCAGGCAAAAUCGUACAAUAAUGGAGAUUCCCUAGGGCAGAAAGUGUAUCUUGAGUUUGCUGGCAGCACAAGAGAAGCCUGUGCUUCCAUGGAACUUCUCACGGUGUCUGAGACUGAAUGAAAGGUCCAGUGUCUGAUUCUUUUGGGAAGCUGGAUAUGAAGUCAGAAUCUUUCUUUGAGUCAUACAUUUUCAUGAUUAUGAUUAUUAUUGAAUGAUAGCUGACAAUUAUUGAGAGCAAUUAUUGAGGACAAUUAUUGAGCUUUCACAAGCCCUUUUCAAAGGUCUUUACAUAUAUUUUCUCCACUUCUAACUGUUAGAUAUUCUUAUUAUUCCCAUUUUGUAGAUGAGGGAUACACAGGCAUAAAGCCUAUGUGGAGGCAGAGAGCAGCUACGUAACCUGACCAUGGCCCAACAGCAAACAAAUGAUGGGGCCACAUGCAAAUCCAGGCAGAAUCCUUCUAUUAUAUGAAGCUCAAUGUUUUCUUGUUUGCAGCUUGUUAUGAAUACAUCUAUUUGCAAAUGGGUUUUGAAGCUACUUUAAAACAUUUUGUGGCUGUGCGUGGUGGCUGGCACCUGUAAUCCCAGCAUUAUGGGAGACCAAGGUGGGCAGAUUGCCUGAGCUCAGGAGUUUGAGACCAACCUGGCCAACAUGGUGAAACCCUGUGCCUACUAAAAAUACAAAAAAAUUAGCCAGGUGUGUUGGUGUGCACCUGUAAUCCCAGCUACUCUGGAGGGUGAGGCAGGAGAAUCACUUGAACCCAGGAGAGGAAGGUUGCAGUAAGCUGAGAUCAUGCCACUGAACUCCAGCCUGGGCAACAGAGUGAGAUUCUGUCUCCAAAUAAAAAAUAAAUAAGAUUGAAUUUUGAGCUCCUGACCAUGUCCCUAGAUUGUACUCAUAUGUAUUUUGAUGUCUAAUAAGAUUUAUUCUCAGUGCAUUUUUUAAGUGAAAGUAUUUAUUGAGCAUCUACUGUAUAUCAUGUGCUGAAAUAGGCACCAGUGGUGCAGGGAACAUAUGGCACAGUGUCUGACCUCAGGUAACUUUCACUCUCAUACAUAUGUAUUAGGACACCAACACAUGUGUGAAUAUAAGAUAGUAUGAUAGAUAUUGCAACAAGUAAUUAUUUACUGUAAACCUAUUUUAUAGGAUUUUAAACUUAAACUACUUUCACCCUAUUUCCAAAAAAAAGUAUUGCAUAACUUUAAAUAGAUUCUCAGUUUGAAAUCAUCAUACAAACUGCAGUAGCAUCUGCUGGUGAAAUACUGCUUUGUAUCUAUUAGAAUAGUCCAAACAAUUGUGAGACAACUGCAUUAUUAGAGCUGUAAAAGUUAUUGUCUAGAAAUCUCAGAGAAGAAGAGGAAGUUCUAUGGUAGAUGAAUAAGAUGACAUCUAAACUGUUCUCUUCAGCUACUGAAGUUCUGUGGAUAUCUCACAGCACAAAGUUCAAGUGUAUGCCCACAGCUCCUCAUGCCACAAGAUGUGACACCUUUCCAAUCUCUUUUUGCAAAAGUUUCCAAUUAUGUCUCUUUUAAGAGUACUUUUUAUACCCACAUAUUCCAGAUUUUGUGGUGCACGCAAAGACAAGAUGGGAAGGGGCUUCCAUUUAUUGAUGCCAGCUGCUCCAUGGACCAGGCCCUGCCCAUGCAUCCAUGUUGGUUCUUUUAUCCCCACAUCAGCCAUAGCCCAUAAGCAUUAACUGCCAUUGCACAGAUGAGGAAAUUGAAAGUCUAAGAGAAUAUGCAAUCUACCCAGAGUCAUGCAGCUUGUGUAUGUAAGGGUUGGAAUGAAAAUCCAAUCUGUGUGAGUCCCAAGUCCCCUUCCACCAUAUGGUUUCCAUUUCAUUUUGCAAUCAGAUUGGCUGGGAUAUGUCUGCCCUAAAAGACAGUAAGUAGGAAUAUUUGUCUCUAUACCUUAACCUGACAUCCAUGGGCUUGCUUUUUGUAUUUGGAGGUGUCAUAACAUUAUAAUAAUAAUUUGAUUUUAUUUGUACAGUGGAUAUUAUACUACUCAGUCUAGAGAUUUAUGACAUCC